GACGAACGCUGGCGGCGUGCCUAAUACAUGCAAGUCGAGCGAAGUUUUUCUGGUGCUUGCACUAGAAAAACUUAGCGGCGAACGGGUGAGUAACACGUAAAGAACCUGCCUCAUAGACUGGGACAACUAUUGGAAACGAUAGCUAAUACCGGAUAACAACAUUAACUGCAUGGUUGAUGUUUAAAAGUUGGUUUUGCUAACACUAUGAGAUGGCUUUGCGGUGCAUUAGCUAGUUGGUGGGGUAAAGGCCUACCAAGGCGACGAUGCAUAGCCGACCUGAGAGGGUGAUCGGCCACACUGGGACUGAGACACGGCCCAGACUCCUACGGGAGGCAGCAGUAGGGAAUCUUCCGCAAUGGGCGAAAGCCUGACGGAGCAACGCCGCCUGAGUGAAGAAGGAUUUCGGUUCGUAAAGCUCUGUUGUUAGGGAAGAAUGAUUGUGUAGUAACUAUACACAGUAGAGACGGUACCUAACCAGAAAGCCAC
rnacentral:rRNA from 1 species